rnacentral:tRNA from 3 species
GGCGACGUGCCCGAGUGGUUUAGGGAGCGGUCUGCAAAACCGCGUACACGGGUUCGAUUCCCGUCGUCGCCUCCA